CCUACGGGUGGCAGCAGUGAGGAAUAUUGGUCAAUGGGCGCGAGCCUGAACCAGCCAAGUCGCGUGAAGGAUGACUGCCCUACGGGUUGUAAACUUCUUUUAUAUGGGAAUACAUUGAGGUACGUGUACCUUUUUGUAUGUACUUUAUGAAUAAGGAUCGGCUAACUCCGUGCCAGCAGCCGCGGUAAUACGGAGGAUCCGCGCGUUAUCCGGAUUUAUUGGGUUUAAAGGGAGCGUAGACGGGUUGUUAAGUCAGUUGUGAAAGUUUGCGGCUCAACCGUGAAAUUGCAAUUGAUACUGGCAGUCUUGAGUACAGUAGAGGUAGGCGGAAUUCGUGGUGUAGCGGUGAAAUGCUUAGAUAUCACGAAGAACCCCGAUUGCGAAGGCAGCUUACUAAACUGCCACUGACGUUGAGGCUCGAAAGUGUGGGGAUCAAACAGGAUUAGAUACCCUUGUAGUC
rnacentral:rRNA from 1 species